CUUGGGAAGAGAGAGAAAGAUAGGUUUUCUUUUUAGUUUUUUAAAUUAUAUUGUUUAGGAUGUUAUUUUUAUAUAAAUUUGAUUUAAUUAUGUGAUGAGCAUUUUUUAUGUAUGAGGUUGCUUAAGAUGUUGCCUCUCCUCUCCCCAUUUCCAUGUUUCCUUCUCAAAUAUAUUUAGUUUCAAUCAACAAUGUUUUUGUACGUUGUCAAAUUUAUUUUAGUGAUAUAAAGAUAUAUAUUUAGGGUUUUGUCUUUAUUUUUGAUACUUGUUUUACUUUUUCAAUUUGAUUUAAUUGUUAGGUGUUCUUUUAUUUUUUAUAACAAAUAUUCGUAGACAAUAUUUCAAUUAAUUUACUAACUUUUCAACAGGUCAAAAUACAAGGGUGGAGGUUUUGAUCUUCAUUUCAUGGAAGGAGGUGGCUAAGAAAAUUAAGUUUUCUUUUUAGUUUUUUAAAUUAUAUUGUUUAGGAUGUUAUUUUUUAUGUAAAUUUGAUUUAAUUACACGAUAAGCAUUUUUGUGCCCUCUUGUUUAAGAUGUUGCCUCUCCUCUCACCUUUCCAUGUUUCCUUUUUCAAUUUGAUUUAAUUGUUAGGUCUUCUUUUAUUUUUAAUAACAAAUAUUUGUAGACAAUAUUUCAAUUAAUUUACUAACUUUUCAAUAGGUCAUGAUGGAGAGGUCCUUAUGGAUGUAUGACUUGUCAAGACUAGAUCCAUCAUAUAUACCUGAGGUGCAUAGGUUUGUUGAUGCCGCUAAGAACCAUGCUUUG
rnacentral:lncRNA from 1 species